rnacentral:rRNA from 1 species
GACGAACGCUGGCGGCGUGCCUAAUACAUGCAAGUAGAACGCACAGUUUAUACCGUAGCUUGCUACACCAUAGACUGUGAGUUGCGAACGGGUGAGUAACGCGUAGGUAACCUGCCUGGUAGCGGGGGAUAACUAUUGGAAACGAUAGCUAAUACCGCAUAAUAUUAAUUAUUGCAUGAUAAUUAAUUGAAAGGUGCAAUUGCACCACUACCAGAUGGACCUGCGUUGUAUUAGCUAGUAGGUGAGGUAACGGCUCACCUAGGCGACGAUACAUAGCCGACCUGAGAGGGUGAUCGGCCACACUGGGACUGAGACACGGCCCAGACUCCUACGGGAGGCAGCAGUAGGGAAUCUUCGGCAAUGGACGAAAGUCUGACCGAGCAACGCCGCGUGAGUGAAGAAGGUGUUCGGAUCGUAAAGCUCUGUUGUAAGAGAAGAACGGGUAUGAGAGUGGAAAGUUCACACUGUGACGGUAUCUUACCAGAAAGGGACGGCUAACUACGU